rnacentral:snRNA from 1 species
AGCUUUCCACAGUGGCAGUAUCGUAGCCAAUGAGGUUUGUCCGAGGUGCGAUUAUUGCUAAUUGAAAACUUUUCCCGCCGGGCGCGGUGGCUCAAGACUGUAAUCCCAGCACUUUGGGAGGCCGA